GAUAAGGGACUUGGACAGGAUGGUUCUGUUCUCUCCAGCUCUGAAAUACUGGCUUCCUGGCAUCAUCUAAUUUCAGGCAGAAAAGCCAGUUUUCUCAGUGUGUCGAAGAUCACCAUUUCAAAGGCCAUUUUGUCUAAGUUUAACUGGCUGUGUUUUUCUGGUUAACUCAAGUGACAUCUGUUCCCGAGCUGUUCCUGACGGCAGUGAAGCUCAGCCACGAUGACACAGGAGCCAGGUAUUUACACCUGGCCAGAGAAGACAUGAAUAAUCUGUUGAGAAUUCCCGAACAAUGGACGGUCAGCUCUCAUGUCCUGGUUCAUAUCGCCCCAGCACACCACGGCUAGAAACCUUUCAGCCAACUUCCACUUAUGUCUCCCGGGGCAGGACAAUGUCACUUGGCCAAUCCCCAAGAGGGACUCCGGAAAGGCUGGAGUUCAAUGGUGUAAUCUCGGCUCACUGCAACCUCUGCCUCCUGGAUUCAAGCAGUUCUACUGCCUCAGCCUUCCGAGUAGCUGGGAUUACAGAUUUCCUGUGAAGUGCAGAAGCACCGUCGUAGAAGCAGAGAUGCAGAGGCAGCACUGGUGACUCACACAUGGAGAGCUGGAGUUCUUGGUCUAGUGGGAUAAACUGACCUGGACAUCAUUUCAGUGCAGCGGAGUGAGUGCUGGGAUGGGCUCCCUCAGGACAUCUGGGGCUGGGUUUGUCUGGUGUUUAGUCUCCUGCCUGGUCCUUAGAGUUUAUCAGUAAGAUGAGCAUUGGGAGGUUUCUAAGUGAAAAGAAAGGCAAUCACUUACCUGAAACCUAAAAUUUGUAGGUGUUCUGGGCCAUUUGUAAUUCACUGAGUCUGCUUUGUCAGAGCAAGUCUAUCAUCUCUUUUGGAUGGAGUGUGGCCAGCCCUGCCUUGAGAUGUAAGGAAAUCAGGAAACGCUUGUCAGGUGACAACACCGUGCCAGACACUCUUCUAGGGGUUUCCACGUAAAUCACUGUAUUCAUUUCUGUUGCUGCUUUACCACAUUUCCACGUAUUUCAUGGCUUAAAACAAUUGAAAUUGUAUCAUCUCACAGUUCUGUGGGUCAGAAGUCUGACGUGGCUGUCACUGGGCAAAAAUCACCAUGUGGCAGCAUUCCUCAUUGGAGAAUUGUUUCCAAGUGCUUUUGGCCAAAUAUAGUUCCUUGUGGUUGCAGGACUGAGGUGUCUGUUCCCUUGCUGGCCAUCUGUUGGGGGCUGCCCUCAGUUCCUGAGGCCUCCAUCUAGUCUUUGCACGUGGUCCCAUCAGCUCAGGACUAGCUGGGCCAGGGACCUGGUCAGGCUCUCCAGUUCCCCUGUGUGCAUUUCUCUUCUUCCACUCGGAGAAAGUUCUAUGCCCUAUUUUAAAAUACUUUUUGAGAUGGAGUCUCACACUGUUGGCCAGGCUGGAGUGCAGUGGCAUGAUCUCAGCUUGCUGCAACCUCUACCUCCCGGGUUCAAGUGAUUCUCCUGCUUCAGCCUCCUGAGUGGCUGAGACUACAGGUGCCUGCCAUAAUGCCCAACUAAUUUUUGUAUUUUUAGUAGAGAUGGGGUUUCACCAUUUUAACCAGGGUGGUCUCCAUCUCUUGAUCUCGUGAUCUGCCUGCCUUAGCCUCUCAAAGUGCGGAGAUUACAGGUGUGAGCCACCUCGCCUGGACAGUUCUAUGCUUUUAGAGGCUCAUGGGAUUAGAUUGGACCUACCUGGAUAGCCCAGCCUACUUCUCCUAAGGCCUGUGGCAAAGCGCUUUUGCUGCGUGACAUAGUCACAGGUCUCGGGGGUUGGCAUCCCCCACCACAGUUACCGACCCACUUACUACAGCAGUCUGGGAGGUGCUUUUCAUUGCCUCUGGUUAACAGAUACCUUUUUUUUUUUUUUUUUUUUUGCAAAUUUGGGGGAACAUUUAAACCUUUUUUUUUUUUUUUUUUUUUUUGAGAUGGAGUCUCAUUCUGUUGCCCGGGCUGGAGUGCAGUGGUGCGAUCUUGGCUCACCACAACUUCCACCUCCCGGGUUCAAGCAGUUCUCCUGCCUCAGCCUCCUGAGUAGCUGGGACCACAGGCACGUGCCCCCAAGCCUGGCUAAUUUUUGUAUUUUUGGUACAGACAGGGUUUCAGUAUGUUGACCAGACUGGUCACAAACUCCUGACCUCGUGAUCCACCCACCUUGGCCUCCCAAAGUGAUAGGAUUACAGGCAUGAGCCACCGCACCCAGCCAUGAAGAUCCUUCUUAAAUGAAAAAACCGUUCCUCUGACUUGAUGUGAGACUGUUGGUGAGACUGAUAGCAGUGGAGACAGGUCCAUCAGAAAUGGAGCUAAACUUUGUGUUUUGGAGUAUUUUGAUGGCCUGCCCUGAUUAUGCCCAUAAUCAAAACCACCUGAUUAAGUAAGUUUCGCUAAGAAGUCAUUAGAGUAAUUCCUCUAAUGGAAGAAACACCCAUAUGGGAAAUUUGGGACCUUGCCUUUUCAAGUUUUACACAAAGGACUCUCCAUGGGUGAAAAGAACAUGAUUCCAGGUCCAUUUCUAGAAUGGAAACAGCUGCAUCAACCCAACAGCAAUUCACAUUCCUGAGUUUGAGAGAAUCCGGUUGUUUCAAGGCUGAAGCCAAAAGCCCAAUAAACAAUGUUUGUACCUUUUUUCA
rnacentral:lncRNA from 1 species